rnacentral:sRNA from 1 species
UGUCGAUCAGGCGAGUGACGCCAACCCA